rnacentral:rRNA from 1 species
CCUUUACCAGCCGGCGACCGGCGCACGGGUGAGUAACACGUAUGCAACCUGCCCGUGGCAGGGGGAUAAGCGGGGGAAACCCCGUCUAAUACCGCGUAACGCGGCCUUGGGGCAUCCCAAGGCCGCCAAAGGGAGCAAUCCCGGCCACGGAUGGGCAUGCGGCGCAUUAGCUAGUCGGCGGGGUAACGGCCCACCGAGGCGACGAUGCGUAGGGGUUCUGAGAGGAAGGCCCCCCACCACUGGUACUGAGACACGGACCAGACUCCUACGGGAGGCAGCAG